CAUUAAAAACAUGAAAUCAGAAAAAAGAAAAAAACACAUGGAGCCCUAAUUUUCAUCUCCUCCUCUUCCGCCGCCAACUUGAGAAAAAACACAAAAAUCUAAAAAUAAAUUCGCAGAUUUAUAAUAUUCCAUUCCCACAUCAGAUUUUUCUCAACUUGAGAUGGAGGAGGAAGUAGACCAAUCUAUUUCCUCAAGAAUUCAUUUUGGUGGAAUGAUUUUCGGAAAAUCAAAGAGGUUAACUUCUCGAGCAAUUACACAAUGGGCGGCAUUGGAAAAUCAAAGAGGCUCCCUCUCCUGCGUCAGCUACUACCAGGUAUGCUGAUUGUAUCAGCAAAAUGUGAAAGAAAAACAAGAAACCAACCUGCUUCCCUGAGGUCGUAUGGAAUGAAUAUUGUAAAGCAUGGAAUACGGCUAAUGCUAUAAAGGCUUCCAAAAGAUGUUCGAACAAUCGCAGACAGGGAAAAGAAGGCUCUUGGCACACAUGCUAAUGGCUGUGUUGCAUUUGAUGUGAUAGCUAAAAAAAUGGCUAAAGAGACCAAGGGAAAGCUCCCUCCAUUUCGGGACAUAUUUAUCAAGACUCAUAGGCUAAAGGAUUCACAUGAGAUUUGUUCACAAGAAGCCAAAGAAAUUGAGGAGAUAGUUUUGGCAAGGGCUGAAGUGUUGCGUGCUGAAGGGGAAGAUAGCUUAUUAUCUUUUAUUAAUUGCUUGCUAUUGUACAUUUGUUUGUUUGUUUAAAGGAGAGAGUUUUGGCAAGGACUGAAGUGUUGCGCGUGCUGAAGGGGAAGAUCAGAUUACGAUGCAAUCUUUCUCGAGCUUUUUAGGAGGGUUAAGAAAAGGAAAGUUUUGGAGCAGGGCAAGCGACAAGCUUGUAUUUUCCAUUUGCUACCAACUCAGCUGCGGGCUCUGCAUCUUCCGGCUUGUCUGGCCUUAGCACUGAGGUUGAUAAGCUUCUCGAGCGACGAGUAUAGCCAUUGCAUCAAGAGAUCGAAGAAUUGCGGGAGCUAGUAAAGGUCCUCAGUCAGCAAGUUCAAGAGUCUAGAAGAAGUUGCUAGUAGUAUUUGAACUAAAUUUUGGGAGCUAGUGGUAUUUGAACUAAAUUGUGGGAGCUAGUAGGAUUUAAAUUAAAGUAUAAAACAAUAUUUUGUAUCUAUGUAAAAUUUGAAUUUUCUCAUUCAAUUGAGCUAUUUCAUACUA